GAUGAAGAACGUAGCGAAAUGCGAUAAGUAAUGCGAAUUGCAGAAUUUCCGUGAGUCAUCGAAUCUUUGAACGCACAUUGCGCCCACUGGUAUUCCGGUGGGCAUGCCUGUUCGAGCGUCAUUAUCCUCCCUCAAACCUCGGGUUUGGUGUUGGACCCAAGUUGUGUGAACAACUGGUCUUAAAGACAAUGACGGCGUCCGUGGGACCCUCGGUGCAACGAGCUUUUAGGAGCACGCGUCGAGUUUCAAGGACCUUCCGGGCCGGUCUCCUUUACCAUUUUACAAGGUUGACCUCGGAUCAGGUAGGAAUACCUGCUGAACUUAAGCAUAUCAAUAAGCGGAGGA
rnacentral:misc_RNA from 1 species